rnacentral:rRNA from 1 species
GAAGCUGGAAUCGCUAGUAAUCGCGGAUCAGAAUGCCGCGGUGAAUACGUUCCGGGUCUUGUACACACCGCCCGUCACACCAUGGGAGUCGGAAAUGCCCGAAGUCUGUGACCCAACCAUUAAGGAGGGAGCAGCCGAAGGCAGGUCGGAUGACUGGGGUGAAGUCGUAACAAGGUACC